CGUGCACUUCCUUUUUGUUUGUAGGAUACUAGGGGACAUGACCGCUUUACUCUUCUGGUGCAGCACGCACAGGGUGUGGAUCUUGUUUCAUCUCGACAAAAGUACAGCCAGUCCUUGAACUCAAACCUCAUGGCGUGACUAGCCUACUCUCUGACGAUUGGCCUCGUACAACUUCGCGACACAGUCCAAGGGCGGAAGUGACGCUGAUGAUCAGACAGCCAAUGAAAGCACGGCACGAAGCAGUGCGAGCCACACUGUGUGACUGCAGCAUUUGUCAACCCCCGCACAGUCGCCAUCGCUCCGACAAGUGUCCUGACAUGGGCCCGACAAUAGCGACUGGGAGGUGUCGGGACACGACCCUGGCUUCCUCACACCUGCAGGUCAACAGGAUUAAAAACAACUCCAUGUUGAGAAAUAAAAACAAAACAAACGAAGUUACUCACGGUGCGACACCGCAGCACAAAUCCUCCCACAGCCGUUGGAGCAGCACGCCAUGUUGGGUUGACAGUCCACGUGUAGGCGGCACUGCUGUACGCAUGACCUCGGCAGCUGGG